UCAAAACCCCGCCAGAGCCGGAAGGCAGCAACGGUAUGAAGUCUAAACUUGUGCUUAGGAUUAUCUGGCCUUU
rnacentral:SRP_RNA from 1 species